CCUGAUAGCAGAGCUCACAAAAUAAUAACGGCCCAGAUUUAUCAAACUGUAUGAGAGAAAAAGUGGAGAGAUUUCCCCCCAGCAACCAAUCACAGCUCAGCUUUCACUUUACCACAGCUCGUUUUAGCUGAGCUGUGAUUGGUCGCUGGGGAAAAACCUCUCCACGUUUUCUCUCACACAGUUUGAUCCUUACUUUGCAGUGAAGUGAAGUCUACUGAGAAGGUGCUAUAGUAACCAUAGUAUGAAAAUAAUAUCCAUAUAUAGUGAAAAAGAUGUGGAAUCUAUUCAUAUAGCAGAGGGAUCUUCACCAGCUGACCUUAUUUAUUAAAAGGCUUAAAUGUACCGGUGCAGGGAUGGAAGAAAACAUUACAAGAAUGCUCAUUCACUACCCGCAUGAAAAAAACUGAACUGAAAUCCUGACUGGGCAGAUAGAGUCCAGCUGUCUACUGUACCCACUUCAGCAUGUUAUCUGUCCAGAAAAUCAUUAAUUGUUCUUACAGGAAUAUGAAGUCAUCUUUAAGUAAGCAGAAGAAGGGCUUCAAUUCAGUUAUAGAUCCAUGUUCUGUCACAGUCUAUAUAUAGUUUAUGAUGUUGUUGAAUUAAUGCAAUCCCCUCAUCCCUCUCAUCGAUGAUGGGCAGCUGGCUGCUGGUAUCUCCAUAUACACCAUCCCAUCAAUUCCUGUAGGAGGAUGUUGAGGAGGAGGGGUAAAUGUCCAUUCUGUCAAUCCAAGUUCCAGGAAGGUUGCAGACAGGCACAUUUCAUCUACAUACGAUUACCAUUGUUGUGUAUGUCGGUACACAACCUCCUGUGCAAACGAAUCCACGUAACCAGUCUGGCUAUCCAUCUUUUGGGACAAUACCUGGAAACCCUGAGAUCAUUGCUGAUGUCAGACGCCUAGUCACGAGGACUCUCCUUGGCGAUUCCAUCUUUCCAAGUGCCGCUGUAACAGGACCCAGCCGAACCACCAGCGCCUGCCCGCGCUCUCUGUGAUUUGCACAGCUACAUCUACUACAACAACCUGCGGUAUCUACGGGGUUCGGUGCAUACGGACCAACCGCAGCAGCGCCCGCCAGCGCUUUCCAUCUAGCGUGCAUUACCAAGUCCUCAGUACAACUACUCCGUAUCAGACGCCUGACCUCACAGGUAAUAUACCAGCAGAUGCUUGCUGACAUUCUAUACAGGGGAGACCCCACCAUAUGAACUGUAUACCAAGCUGACUUUAUACAGGACUGUCAUUUCCACAUGCUGGAUUUAAUGUAGUAGUGUUCUUUUCUAUCCAAUUUUAUCCAAUAAUACUUUUAUAUUGAUAUCAUUGUUGUGCAUUUAUUCCUGCCACAAGGGCCCUGUGACAAGAGGUACAAUUUUCAUGCAUAUUCAAGUUUUAAUAAAAUCUAGUAAUUGAAGCAUGGUCACUUAUGUUAACACUUCUACAUUUAUUCAUCACGUACAUGUAACCCUGGUAUUUCCCUUGAGGUGUAUGGUUACUUUUGUUUUGCUAUAUAUUUCACUUAACACCUAAAGGUAUAGGUGUAAAACCAUAAUAUACCUUGGAAAAUUAAUUAUGAGCUGCAGUGCCCAAAUUUUCUAUAUCACCAUUGAUAGUGACGUCUGAAAAUGUAAAGCUUCCGUUUGGCCAGCACCAGAAUGUUAGCACUCUGGCCCAGAUUUAUCACUGUUGG